rnacentral:rRNA from 1 species
GAUGAACGCUAGCUACAGGCUUAACACAUGCAAGUCGCGGGGCAGCAUGGGGGUUGCUUGCAAUCCCCGAUGGCGACCGGCGCACGGGUGGGUAACGCGUAUUCAACCUGCCCUUCACCACGGGAUAACCCGGCGAACGUCGGACUAAUACCGUAUGUUGUCCAUUGACGGCAUCCGAUUUGGACGAAAGGCUUGGCGGUGAGGGAUGGGGAUGCGUCCGAUUAGCCAGACGGCGGGGUAACGGCCCACCGUGGCUACGAUCGGUAGGGGUUCUGAGAGGAAGGUCCCCCACACUGGAACUGAGACACGGUCCAGACUCCUACGGGAGGCAGCAGUGAGGAAUAUUGGUCAAUGGGCGUAAGCCUGAACCAGCCAAGUAGCGUGCAGGAUGACGGCCCUAUGGGUUGUAAACUGCUUUUAUGCGGGGAUAAAGUGGCCCACGUGUGGGCUUUUGCAGGUACCGCAUGAAUAAGGACCGGCUAAUUCCGUG